rnacentral:rRNA from 1 species
GUUUACGGCCAUGCCACCCUGAACAAGCCCGAUCCCAUCUGAUCUCAGAAGCUAAGCAGGGUCGUCCUGGUUAGUACUGGAUGGGAGACCACCUAGGAAGACCAGGUGCUAUAGGUG